rnacentral:rRNA from 1 species
GACGAACGCUGGCGGCGUGCUUAGCACAUGCAAGUCGAACGGAAAGGCCCUGCUUGCAGGGUACUCGAGUGGCGAACGGGUGAGUAACACGUGGGUGAUCUGCCCUGCACUUCGGGAUAAGCCUGGGAAACUGGGUCUAAUACCGGAUAGGAGCCAUUUUUAGGGUGUGGGUUGGAAAGUUUUUUCGGUGUAGGAUGAGCUCGCGGCCUAUCAGCUUGUUGGUGGGGUAAUGGCCUACCAAGGCGGCGACGGGUAGCCGGCCUGAGAGGGUGGACGGCCACAUUGGGACUGAGAUACGGCCCAGACUCCUACGGGAGGCAGCAGUGGGGAAUAUUGCACAAUGGGCGCAAGCCUGAUGCAGCGACGCCGCGUGGGGGAUGACGGCCUUCGGGUUGUAAACUCCUUUCGCUAGGGACGAAGCUUUUGUGACGGUACCUAGAUAAGAAGCACCGGCUAACUACGUG